CCUACGGGAGGCAGCAGUGGGGAAUAUUGCACAAUGGGGGAAACCCUGAUGUAGCGACGCCGCGUGAGUGAAGAAGUAUCUCGGUAUGUAAAGCUCUAUCAGCAGGGAAGAAAAUGACGGUACCUGACUAAGAAGCCCCGGCUAACUACGUGCCAGCAGCCGCGGUACUACGUGGGGGGCAAGCGUUAUCCGGAUUUACUGGGUGUAAAGGGAGCGUAGACGGCAGCACCAGUCUGGAGUGAAAUCCCGGGGCUGAACCCCGGAACUGCUUUGGAAACUGUGCGGCUAGAGUGCAGGAGGGGUAAGCGGAAUUCCUAGUGUAGCGGUGAAAUGCGUAGAUAUUAGGAGGAACACCGGUGGCGAAGGCGGCUUACUGGACUGUAACUGACGUUGAGGCUCGAAAGCGUGGGGAGCAAACAGGAUUAGAUACCCGUGUAGUC
rnacentral:rRNA from 1 species